rnacentral:rRNA from 1 species
AGUGAACGCUGGCGGUAGGCCUAACACAUGCAAGUCGAACGGCAGCACAGUAAGAGCUUGCUCUUACGGGUGGCGAGUGGCGGACGGGUGAGGAAUACAUCGGAAUCUACUUUUUCGUGGGGGAUAACGUAGGGAAACUUACGCUAAUACCGCAUACGACCUACGGGUGAAAGCAGGGGAUCUUCGGACCUUGCGCGAUUGAAUGAGCCGAUGUCGGAUUAGCUAGUUGGCGGGGUAAAGGCCCACCAAGGCGACGAUCCGUAGCUGGUCUGAGAGGAUGAUCAGCGACAGGGGAAGGGAGACACGGUGCAGAGUCCUACGGGAGGCAGCAGUGGGGAAUAUUGGAAGAUGGGCGCAAUCCUGAUCCAGCCAUACCGCGGGGGUGAAGAAGGCCUUAGGGUUGUAAAGCCCUGUUGUUGGGAAAGAAAAGCAGCAGGUUAAGACCCCGCUGUUCGGACGGGACCCAAAGAAGAAGCACCGGCUAACUUCGUG